rnacentral:misc_RNA from 1 species
GAUGAAGAACGUAGCGAAAUGCGAUAAGUAGUGUGAAUUGCAGAAUUCAGUGAAUCAUCGAAUCUUUGAACGCACAUUGCGCCCUUUGGUAUUCCUUAGGGCAUGCCUGUUCGAGCGUCAUUUAAACCUUCAAGCUAAGCUUGGUGUUGGGUGACUGUCCGCUUCACGACGGACUCGCCUCAAAAUUAUUGGCGGCCGGUACAUUGGCUUCGAGCGCAGCAGAAACGCGAACUCGGGCCCGUCGUAUUGGCUCCCAGAAGCUAUCUUCACAAUUUUGACCUCGGAUCAGGUAGGGAUACCCGCUGAACCUAAGCAUAUCAAUAAGCGGAGGA